rnacentral:rRNA from 1 species
ACUUUAAUUGAAGAGUUUGAUCAUGGCUCAGAUUGAACGCUGGCGGCAGGCCUAACACAUGCAAGUCGAGCGGAAACGGCAGUAUUGAAGCUUCGGUGGAUUUACUGGACGUCGAGCGGCGGACGGGUGAGUAACGGCUGGGAACCUGCCCU